rnacentral:lncRNA from 1 species
CGAAGAGCAGGUACUUGAUGCACUUGGUGCAGCCCUCCACUCCCAUGGCGGCGCGGGCGGCGGGCGGCCUGCGGGGCGCGGGCCGGUCCUGGGCGGCGGGCGGGCCGGCGCGGGGCCUGGCGGGUGGCCGGCAAGGGGGCCUGGCGGGCCGAGGGGCGGGGGCGCGAAGAAAGGGGCGCGGGGGCGCGGGGGCGCGGGGGCGCGUGGGGCGCUGGGCGCCGGAGGCCUGGCAGGAUGCGCGGUGGGGUCGCCGCCGUCGCCGCCGUUGCGCGCUCGCUCUCUGGCCGGGCGCGCGCCUCGCUCCGCAGUACUUAUAGGGCGCCGCGGUCCCGCCCCUCCAUAGGCCCCGCCCCGGCCAGCUCACGCCCCGCCCCCGGCCCCGCCUCCUGCCGCCAGGGCGCGCAGCCGAGGGGUAUGGGGUCGCUGCACCUACCCCCAACUUGGCGCGUUUCGGCCAGGACCUCAGGGCCCAGGUGCACCGUGCUGGGCGCGGGAGGCGUCCCCAAGCUGCUGUCGCGCUCCGAGCCCCCAAGGGGGUGGCAGCAGGGCCGCGCCUGAGGACAGGCAUGCAGCGUCUGCCCAGGAGUGCAGCCCCGGUGCCGGGAGAACAACCCAUUCCUCCCUCCCUCAAGCACCUUGGACAAUCUGGGAGGGCUCCCCAAAGGAGGUGAGCACCUUGGACAAUCCGGGAGGGCUUCCUGAAGGAGUUGAUGCCACAGUGGUUGGCUUUGCAAAGACAGCAAGCUUUGCUCACAUUGCUCUCCGGGGCUGGAACCUGGGCAGGCAUGAGGCCCCCUAGUCAGUGUUGGCCUCAAGGUCCUAGUACAGGUAACCAAUCCCUGUCUCACGGAAGGGGAGAAUUGCUGACCCAUGCUGUGGGAGUCUGCAUCUGAAAAGGUCACUGGGGCCUGAGAGGGCAGCUCCCAGAACAGUGUGAAGUGUCCAGGAGGCCAGAGACACCUAUAGGAGAACCUCCAGAUAUUGCAUCUAUUUCGUCUACAUCCUGGUUGUGUCGUGCCCCAGGGAUGCCAGCCUCACACCGUGGCUCUUCCGGAAGGUGUGGGGCCAGGCCUGCUGCACUUACUGCUUUGGGCUAAUGAUUCAGAGAGUGAAGGGUGCUUUCUCCCCAGAGGAAGGAGCGAAGGCCUUUGCAGGAGAUGACACACUGACGAAGGUUUCCCAUGCCCUCUCCAAGAAAACUGAUGGACAACGGGGCUGCAUCCUGGGCGGGGGCUUACCUGGGAACCACGUGGGACCAGGUCCGGAGAACCAUCCUCUAGCCAGCUCGUCUUGGCAAGUGUCGUCCAACCCAGUGCUAGCUGAUAGAACCUUCUGCAACGAUGGGAAUGUUCUGUACCUGGAUAACCCCCUGGCACAGAUGACUACUGGGUACUGGAAAUGUGGCCACAAGGAACCAAAUUUUUCAUUGUGUUUCAUCGUAAUUUAAAUUCACAUGGCCCUGGGUGGCCAGUAGCGCUCACAUUGGACAAAACAGCUCUAUCGUCAUCAUCUGUGCUCUACCGGUUUUCUUGGUGGUUAAUUUGUAAACUGGUUUUGGCUUCAUGCCUGCGUAAGAACUGCAAGCACUAGUAGUUUAUGCCUGGUUUUACAUUUUGUGCCUGUCGAAGUGACAUUAUAAGAAAAGACACUAUAUGGUCACUUGAGAGUCUUCGAGGAUUCUUUUUGUUUAGAAGGGAAUAGAAAAGGGUUCCAGUGUGAGGAAACAUUUCUCUGGAUGUCCUGGACACCUGCUCUCCCAUCAGCUCCCUGCUGUCCCCAGUGAUGGGGACAUUUCCCGUUAAAGGUGUGAGCUGUGUCCUCAGCAGGGGGUGGUAGGUGGAGGGAGACACUGGCUCCACUCUCAGGAAGUGGGAGGAGGGGGCAGAUCCAUGCACACUGUGUCCUUGACCACCAGCCUCAGAAGCAGGCCAUGCCCAGCCAGCAGCCAGCCUGCCUGUCCUCUUCAGCCAUGCAUCAAAUAUUUAGUGGGUGCCUGCUGUGUGUCAGGCACUGUUCCAGGCCCUGGCUGUGGGAGCCAGGCAGCAGACCCCUCCCCUGGAGGAUCUGCAACUCUGGCGGAGAUGACACGUGUCACAGCACGAUGGUCAUAUCAGUGCUGGGGAGGGACGGAAUUCCUAGGAUGCUUGCUAGAGGGUCACAGGGUUGGGGCACUCCUCAACCACGGGGCUGAGGCACUCCAAGUGCAGAGGCUUGGAAGAGCCACAGUGGAUCCAGGCCCUGAUGCCUGAGAAGGAGCCAGCUAGGCAGAGCCGGGGAGGAGCACUCCAGACAGACAGGUGAGGUUGGAGGAACACAAGGGAAGCAGGAGACAGAGCCAGGGGAAAGGGGCUGGACACAGGUUAGGGGCAGGUGUGAGCCUGGGAGGCAGGGGGGCUGGCCUUGGGACCUGGAGGCCAGAGGGAGGCUGCAUUUUAUUCUGACUGCAGUGGGAUGAUGGAGGGCUUCAUGGGCCUGACAUCUGAUUGCGGGGGCAGCAGCCCGUCUUAGCUCCAGAGUGGAACUCACAUUCACAGUCACUUGCAGGCUCACAGGGAAGACUGGCUAUGAGGGGGUAGGAGGACCACUUCGCAGGGCCUGGCCCAUGGGAGCUCCACAUCUGAAGUGCCCUUCCCAGUGGCCCACUGGUGUGACCUCAUGGGGACCUUGGGGAUCCCAUGGCUGACAAGGACAUGGCUUGUGUCUGUGUGAUACUGGCACAGUACGCACCCAGAAGUGCGUCUGAAAGGGUUCCUGUUGUUAGCUGGGCCUGGUGGAGCUUCCAUCCUGGCUCCAGGACAAAUAUUCAGGUGGACUCUGUCAGAGGAUGAGGGGAGAAAGGGGAGGGGCUUGCUCAGCAGCCCGGCCUGGGAUGGGAGCGCCGCUCCCUGGGCCUCCCCUGCCCUGAGAAGGCUUAUGCCUGAGGAAGGCAGAGCUGCUGGAGCGAUGUGGGCACAGCCGGAGGCACGUUGAGGAAGGGCAGGCGUUUGCAGCCCGGCUGGGUUCUUCUCCUCCCUGUGUGUAGGAGUCUUCCCCUCCCCGUGACUUCGGGCUGGUCCCUCAGUUUCCCCAUCUGCAGAAGUGCCAUCUCCCAGCAUUUUGGGACAGGUGACAUGUGCAUAUAUUCCCAUUGCACUUAGGGGCAGGGCCUGGCCUGUGGGAGGAACCAGGUCCCUGGUUCCUUGAAGCCAUGUUUGACAGAGAGACCUUUCUGCCUGGCGUGAGGUGACUCACAGCCCCGAUGGAGCACACCUUCAGUUGGUGGAGCCAUUCAUGAGACCAUGAGACCCCUGUGCCUUGAUUUCUCGUGGAAUACAUGAAGAUCACUCAAAUGAGGACAAGCAGAGGCUGUUUAUGCAGUGCUCACUCUAGCAGGGAGUCGGCCACUAGCACUCAUCUUGGGCAGACACGCCCAGGCAGGUUGGGGAGUUGUACAGCUUUCUAUUAAAAGGGGUGGCAGAAGAGUUUGGAUGUUAUCAACAUCCAAAAAGCAACCAAGGUAAUAAAUACGCCAUAUCAAUAGAAUAAGAGACAGAAACCGUAAGAUCAUCUCAACAGACGCAGGGAAGGCACCCAAACACAAGCUCACACUCUUCCCUGAUUAAAAAAAAAAAAAAGCACUGAACUCACUAGAAAUAGAAGGGACCUGCCUCCACCUGAUAAAGAGCGCUGACAAAAAUACCCCAGCUAACGUGGUGCUCAGUGGUGAAAGCCGGAUAGUUCUUCCCCUAUGAUCAGGAGUAAGGUGGGGUGAAUGCUCCCCACUUCCAUUCAACACUGUCUGGAAGGCUCUGGCAGGGCAAUUAGGUAAGAAAAAGAUGUCAAGGGCACCCAUAUUAGAAAGGAAGAAGAAAAAUGCUAUGUCUGAAUAUCUGUGUCCCCCCAGUGUUGAAAUUCUUACUCCCCAGGUGAUGGAAUUUGGAAGUGAGGCCUUUGGGAGAUUAGGUUAUGAGGGCAGAGCCUUCCUAUAUUGGAUUAGUGUCCUUAUAAAAGAAGCCUUAGAAAGACCCUGGGCCCCUUCCUUUCACUAUGGGGGGGACACAGCGAGAAGACAGUCAUCUAUGAACCCAGAAGUAGGCCCCGACCAGACACCAAACCUACGGGUGUCUUGAUCUUGGACAUCCCAGUCUCCAGAACUGUGGGAAAUACAUUUGUGUUGUUUAUAAGCCACUCAGUUUAUGGUAGUCUGUUGUGGCAGCUCAAAAGGACUAAGACAUUAAACUUUCUAUUUGCUGAUUAUAUGACAUUAUAUAUAGAAAAUCCACUAAAACCCUUAAAACUAAUAAACAUGCAUAGCAAUGUGGCAGGAUACAAGAUCAAUAUACAAACAUCGAUUUUAUUUCUAUACACUAGCAAUGAACCAUCCAAAAAUGAAGUGAAGAAGACAAUCUCAUUUAUAAUAUUGGCAAAAAGAACAUACCUAGAAAUAAAUGCAACAAAAGAUGCAUAAAACUUGUGUACUGAAAAAUACAAAAUAUUUUUGAAAGGAAUCAAAGAGUAUCGAAUUAAAUGGAAAGAUAUCCUGCAGUCAUGGAUCAGGAGACAUAAUGUUAAGAUGGCCAAACUCCCGAAUUCAUCUAUAGCUUCACAAUCUCUAUCAAAAUCCCAUCUGUCUUUUUACAAGCUGAUCCUCAAAUUCAUAAGGAAAUACAAGGGUUUCAGAAUAGCCAAAACAAUCUAGAAAGAGAAGAGCAAAACCGGAGGGCUCACAUUUCCUGAUUCAAACUUACUGCAAAGCUACAGUAAUCAAGACAAUGUGGUACUGGCAUAAGGAUAGACCUACAGAUCAAUGCAGUAAAGUUGAGACUCCAAGAACAAAUCCUUGCAUUUAUGGUCAAUUGAUUUUUUUAAAGACUGUUCAAGUGCAGCAGUGAGAAGGCGGGAAAGAGUAGAACGAGGUGUUCCAUCUGUAACUGACUGUGAACAAUCAAUUGAGAUAACUCACUACCUUCAGACCGGCCAUCAGUUGAUUUUUGACAAGGGUACCAAGACAAUUCAAUGGGGGAAGGAAUAGUCUUUUCAGAAAAUGGUGCUGGGACAACUAGAUAUCCAUGUGCAAAAGAAUGAAGUUGGACCCCUACCUCAUGCUGUGCACAAAAAUUAACUCAAAAUGGAUCGUAGACCUAAAUGUAAGCACUAAAAUUAUGAUAUCCUUAGGAAGGCCAGGCGCAGUGGCUCACACCUGUAAUCCCAGCAGUUUGGGAGGCCGAGGCGAGUGGAUCACCUGAGAUCAGGAGUUUGAGUCCAGCCUGGCCAACAUGGUGAAACCAUGUCUCUGCUAAAAACACAAAAAUUAGCUGGGCAUGGUGGUGGGCGCCUGUAAUCCCAGCUACUCGGGAGGCUGAGGCAGAAGAAUCGCUUGAACCCAGGAGGCAGGGGUUGCAGUGAGCUGAGAUUGUGCCGUUGCACUCCAGCUUUGGCGACAGAGAGAGACUUUGUCUCAAAAAAAAGAAAAAAAAAGAAAAGAAAAAAUAAAAUCCUUAGGAAAGAACAUAGGAAUAAAUCUUGGUGACCUUGUGUUAAACAAUGGUUUUUAAUAUACACUACCAAAAGCACAGGCAACAAAAGAAAAAAUAGAUAAAUUGGACUUGGCCAAAGCUAAAAACAUUUGUGCGUGAAAAGACACCAUCAAGGAAGUGGAAAGACAACCCAAGAAAUGACAGCAAACAUUUGUGAAUCAUCUAUUUGAUAAGGGACUAGUAUCUAAACAUGUAAAGAACUCUAACUUAUCAACAAGAAGACAAACCACCUACCUUUAAUGAUGGGCAAAGGAUUAGAAUAGAGCUUGCUCCAAAGAAGAUGUACAUAUGACCGAUAAGCUCAUGAAAAGAUGUCCCCAUCAUUAGUCAUCAGGGAAAUGCAAAUCAAAACACAGCGAGAUACCACGAUGCACCCAUCAAGAUGGCUAUAAAUAAAAGAGACAGACAAUAACAAGUGUUGGCAGAGGUAUGGAGAAAUUGGAACCCUCCUUCAUUGCUGGUGGGAAUGCAAAAUAGUGCAGCCACUUCGGAAAACAGACUGGCCGUUUCUCAAAAUGCUAAAUAUAGAGUUUCCAUAAAAAUCAGCAAUUCCAGUCCUAGAUAUACGUGUGUGUGUGUGUGUGUGUGUGUGUGUGUGUGUGUGUGUGUGUGUAUCCAAGAGAAAUGAAAGCAUAUGUCUGUAUAACAAUAUGCACAUGCAUGUUCAUAGCAGUACUGGUUUGUUUUGUUUUGUUUUGUUUUGUUUUUUGAGACAGAGUCUUGGUCUGUUGCCCAGGCUGGAGUGCAGUGGCGCGAUCUUGGCUCACUGCAACCUCUGCCCCCCGGAUUCAAGAGAUUCCCCUGCCUCAGCCUCCUGAGUAGCUGAGAUUACAGGCACGCAUGACCGUGUCUGGCUAAUUGUUGUAUUUUUAUUAGAGAUGGGGGUUUCACCAUGUUGGCCAGGCUGGUCUCAAACUCUUGGCCUCAAGUGAUCCGCCUGCCUCAUCCUCCCAAAGUGCUAGGAUUACAGGCAUGAGCAACUGCACGCAGCCAGCACUAGUUUUAAUAGCUAAAAAGUGGGAACAAUUCAAAUGUUCAUCAAUGAAUAAAUAAAUAAACAAAAUAUCGGUCUAUCCAUACAGUGGAAUAUUAUUCAGCCAUAAAAAUGAAUGAAGUACCGAUACGAGCUACAACAUGGAUGAACUUUGAGGGUAUGAUGCUGAGGGAAAGAAGCCAAACCCAAAAGACCAUUGUGAUACCAUUUUUUUCAAGUGUUUAGAAUGGGCAAAUUAAUGGAAAGUAGAUUGGUGAGUGGCUGCCUGGGGCUUCGUGGACUGGGUGGGGAGUGGCUGCUAACAGGUGCCUACGGGGUUCUGUCUUUGGGAUGUUGAAAAUGUUCUAAAAGUAGGCAGUGGUGAUGGUUGCACAAUUCUGAGACUACUCUAAAGUCACACCAACUAAGUCUACAGUUUAUGCUAAGUUUUAUGUCAUAAGAAUUUUAUCUCAAUAAAGGUAUAAAAGACCUUCCAAAGGCCAGGUGCAGUGGCUCACGCCUGUAAUCCCAGCACUUUGGGAGGCCGAGAUGGCCAGAUCAUGAGGUCAGGAGAUCAAGACCAUCAUGGCUAACAUGGUGAAACCCCGUCUCUAC